GGGGAAUAUUGCACAAUGGGCGCAAGCCUGAUGCAGCGACGCCGCGUGAGGGAUGACGGCCUUCGGGUUGUAAACCUCUUUCGCCAGGGACGAAGGGUGAUACUGACGGUACCUGGAGAAGAAGCACCGGCUAACUACGUGCCAGCAGCCGCGGUAAUACGUAGGGUGCGAGCGUUGUCCGGAAUUAUUGGGCGUAAAGAGCUCGUAGGCGGUGUGUCGCGUCUGCCGUGAAAACCUACAGCUUAACUGUGGGCGUGCGGUGGAUACGGGCAUCACUUGAGUUCGGCAGGGGAGACUGGAAUUCCUGGUGUAGCGGUGGAAUGCGCGGAUAUCAGGAGGAACACCGGUGGCGAAGGCGGGUCUCUGGGCCGAUACUGACGCUGAGGAGCGAAAGCGUGGGGAGCGAAC
rnacentral:rRNA from 1 species